GGCUGGUGGUCCCUUGCCAGUGUGUUCGAGAGCCUGACUGGCAAGUUGCAGGUGGCUGCUCGAGGGGGAACCUGCUGUGCAGUGUCUUGCAAAAGGAUUGAUGAUAAUGAAAUAUCUGUUAUUGUCACAGCUUCACUACACUGAGGAUAUCAUGGUUUUUGUAACAGCACAGUUUUAGAAGUCAAACGCAGGUAACUGGGUGCACAUUGAGCAUUCCAAAGAAGAGAAAGGACCCUGUUUCACCAUAGAGCGUCAAGAUAUGAGUGGUUACAUUCCAUUUACUGACCAAAGUACCUUCCAAAUGUGGAAGAAAAAGCAGCCCUGGAGACUUUCCUGCAGAUGCCAAAGGUCUCCAAAAGCCAGCAUUUCAGGAAAAGAUGAAUUUGCUCUUCUGUACAUCCUCUGGUGUUUUAUUUCACAGUGUUUACUGAAAAGAGUUUUCAGGAAAGGAACGAGAAAGGAAACAGAUGGUGCCAAAUGAGAGCGGUGAGUCCCAGAUUUCUCCACUCUUUGCUGGCUCAGAGCAGCUGAGAAGCCCGCAGGAGAAAGAGUGGGGGAUUUGCUGUGCUCUUGCCCCUCCCUUCCAGCGUCGCCAGUCCCUCGGCUAUGUAAACAGGGCUUUGAUGUCACAAGCCCAGGGAGGUCAUGCUGAAUGAGCACUGCCAGCUCUUCCUCCCGCCCUCUCCUGCCCUUCCAAGGGUGACGGAGACUUCCGAGCAGCGGGCAGAGGAAAUAAACAAAUUGACAGGGUGGGCUCGCUCUUGGUUUCGUUUGUAGCCCAGAGGGAGUGAAACCAGGAGGAAAAAA